rnacentral:rRNA from 1 species
CCUACGGGAGGCAGCAGUGGGGGAUAUUGCACAAUGGGGGGAACCCUGAUGCAGCGACGCCGCGUGGGUGAAGGAGUAUUUCGGUAUGUAAAGCCCUAUCGGCAGGGAAGAAGCAAGACGGUACCUGACUAAGAAGCCCCGGCUAACUACGUUCCAGCAGCCGCGGUAAUACGUAGGGGGCGAGCGUUAUCCGGAUUCACUGGGUGUAAAGGGAGCGUAGACGGCCAUGCAAGCCAGGGGUGAAAGCCCGGGGCCCAACCCCGGGACUGCCCUUGGAACUGCAUGGCUGGAGUGCGGGAGGGGCAGGCGGAAUUCCUGGUGUAGCGGUGAAAUGCGUAGAUAUCAGGACGAACACCGGCGGCGAAGGCGGCCUGCUGGACCGCGACUGACGUUGAGGCUCGAAAGCGUGGGGAGCGAACAGGAUUAGAUACCCCUGUAGUC